UUAAAUUUUGUCGUACUUCUCAUUUCUAAGUGUAGGAUAAUACAGUUGGUUCUUCACAACACGUUGAUAUUUUCCCCCAAAAAAUUAGCCUGGCCAUUCAUUAUGCCUGUCUUAAAGGGAAGUUUAUUGUUCCUUUGAUUUCGAAGAACUCUGCUUCCUAAUAUCUGCAGAUCCAUAUUUGAUAGUGUUGAUCCAAAUUAAGGUAGACCAUGUAUGUUAUGGCUUGAGUUUCUUGUCUGUUGUAAUAGGAUAAAUAUGCAGUGUCCUUUGCAUCCUCACUUUAUUUAUUAUGACCCUUUCCUAUUUCUUGUUCAGGUUUCUCAAAUUCGGACAAAGAAAGGACAGACAAAAGUUUUUUACAAUGUAGGAUGAUCUUAAUGUUUGAUGCAUCCUUCAGUGUGUUAAAAGAUGGUAUGACGCUUUUUGUCAAUAUUAUGUUGUAAUACAUUGUCGCGCAACUUUAAACCAAGCUUUUAUUGUCUUUGUACUAGAAUUUGAGAAUUUGUUGUAUUGAAGUUUGUGAGGCAUUUUUGAUAUGACUAAAUUAUAAUGGACGAGAUUUUAGCUUCUUUUUAUUUUUAACACUGUCUAAUGGUUCUGAUUCACUUUACUGGACAUACCGGUAAUAUGCAUCAGUGACCUCAACUGACCACUAUGGUUCUCGGCUGGAUUCAUAUCUGCAUCUAAGUGGACAAUUUAUACAACUUCGUAG
rnacentral:lncRNA from 1 species